rnacentral:rRNA from 1 species
CGGUAGCUGGUCUGAGAGGACGACCAGCCACACUGGGACUGAGAUACGGCCCAGACUCCUACGGGAGGCAGCAGAGGGGAAUCUUGCGCAAUGGGCGAAAGCCUGACGCAGCGACGCCGCGUGGGGGAUGAAGGCCCUCGGGUUGUAAACCCCUUUCGGCAGGGACGAAGCGAUAGUGACGGUACCUGCAGAAGAAGCCUCGGCUAACUACGUGCCAGCAGCCGCGGUAAGACGUAGGAGGCGAGCGUUGUCCGGAUUCAUUGGGCGUAAAGAGCACGCAGGCGGUUUGGCAAGUCGGAUGUGAAAACCCGAAGCUCAACUUCGGGCCUGCAUCCGAAACUGCCCGACUAGAGGUAGGUAGGGGAGAUCGGAAUUCCUGGUGUAGCGGUGAAAUGCGCAGAUAUCAGUAGGAACACCGGUGGCGAAGGCGGAUCUCUGGGCCUUACCUGACGCUCAGGUGCGAAAGCUAGGGGAGCGAACAGGAUUAGAUACCCUGGUAGUCCUAGCCGUAAACGUUGGGUGCUAGGUGUGGGCGGUCAUCAACCCCGUCCGUGCCGAAGCUAACGCAUUAAGCACCCCGCCUGGGGAGUACGGCCGCAAGGCUAAAACUCAAAGGAAUUGACGGGGCCCCGCACAAGCGGCGGAGCAUGUUGCUUAAUUCGAUGCGACGCGAAGAACCUUACCUGGGCUUGACAUGCAGGGUGAAACCCGUGAAAGCGGGCGCUCUUCGGAGCCUGCACAGGUGGUGCAUGGCUGUCGUCAGCUCGUGCCGUGAGGUGUUGCCUUAAGUGGCGCAACGAGCGCAACCCCUGUCCUUAGUUGCCAGCGGAUCAUGCCGGGAACUCUAGGGAGACUGCCGGUGCCAAACCGGAGGAAGGUGGGUAUGACGUCAAGUCAUCAUGCCCCUUACGUCCAGGGCUGCAAACAUGCUACAAUGCUCGGUACAAAGGGCUGCGAUCCCGCAAGGGGGAGCGAAUCCCAGAAAGCCGGGCUCAGUUCGGAUCGGGGUCUGCAACUCGACCCCGUGAAGUUGGAGUCGCUAGUAAUCGCAGAUCAGCACUGCUGCGGUGAAUACGUUCCCGGGGCUUGUACACACCGCCCGUCACACCACGAAAGUGGGCAACACCCGAAGCCGGUGGCCUAACCCUUGUGGAGGGAGCCGUCGAAGGUGGGGCUCGCGAUUGGGGUGAAGUCGUAACAAGGUAGCCGUACCGGAAGGUGCGGCUG